CAUCGCUUAAUGUAAUUAUAUUAAGUAAUGCCUGCCCAAUGAUUUAAAUGGCCGCAGUAUACUGACUGUGCAAAGGUAGCAUAAUCAUUUGUCUUUUAAUUGAAGGCUUGUAUGAAUGGCGUAACGGAAGAAAAUCUGUCCCUUUACUAAUAUCUUAAUUUAAUCUAUAAGUCAAAAAGCUUAUAUAAACACGCAGGACGAGAAGACCCCUUAGAUCUUUAUACAACUGAUUAUACAAUAUUAGAAAUUAAAUAAAUAUAUAUCAUUACAUUAUUAAGUUGGGGUGACUAGGAAUUAAUUAACAUUUCUACAAAAUACUUAAAUACAAGGAAAAUAGAUCCGUAAGACGAUUAAAAAUUUAAGAUACCUAGGGGAUAACAGCGUAAUUUAUAUUAAGAGUUCUUAUCAAAAUAUAAGAUUGCGACCUCGAUGUUGGAUUAAGAUACAAUAUAAGCGCAACAGUUUAUUAGUGGGGUCUGUUCGACCUUUAAAUUCUUACAUGAUCU
rnacentral:rRNA from 1 species